rnacentral:lncRNA from 1 species
GAGAGGACUGAAGUGCUGAAAGGUGAAGCAACGGUCUUGUGGCUUCCCAGCUUCUAGAUGAUGACGCCAGGUUUUAUACUUAAACAGUUUUGUUCAUAAGCAGAGAGCCUGAGCUCCUGGCCAAGAUACCUCACUGCCAAGGCACUUAGGACAUAUCAGUGAACAAAAUAGACCAGGAGGAUGUGCUGUCCCAGACAAUCAACACAAGGCUCUGAGGUGGCUAGAUCAUAGACAUUAACACAUACUACACUCGAAGCAGAGAAAAGCCUUGAAUUUCAGAAGCCUAGGCUCUGAGAAGAUACAUAGCACAGAAAAUGUGAGAUGAAUCAGAUCUAUUUUUCAUGCCCCCAAACUAUUUACAGCUUAUCAGAAUAAAGAAGACAGUGGGCUGCAUGAAGGAGGUGACAGUCACAGAGGAAGCUCGAAAGGUCACUAUGUUGGUGAAUUGGAGCACCUAACUGCAGACAGGACCCACAGCUCCAUUCUUGAAUGGAGGCCAGUGAAACAAGACUCUCGCAUGGAAAGACGUGUAGAAUGUCUAGUGUGAGAGGCCUGAGAGGCUCUGAAAACUGCUACUGCUCAUCAUGAUGUGGGGGCAGAAAAUUGAGCCAGAGAGAAACUGGAAUUUGAUGCAGGACUAUGGUAGUCCCAUGUGGUUUCUAUAGCUCAUGGGCCAUGAGGCCAACAGCACAUUCACUCCAGAGCGGGACACUGGGAUUAUCUGAGAGGGCCCUGGUCACCAAGGAUCGUGGAUGGAGAAGGAGGGUUGAUGCAGCAGGGACCUGCACUAAACCAAAGACUGGUUAGGCACAAAACCAACAAACAUGUACCUGUUCAGGUCUAGGGCACACAGGAUGUCCCUCAUGUCUGCAAGCAACACCUUUCAUAGUGCUGCAUUUUCUGGCUGCCAGAUGGAGCUUUUCUUUCACACUAAAUUGAUUUCUGUGAAAAGUCUUUGUCACCUGCAAUAUGAUGAUGCUUCUAAGUCUAUGCACCAUCUUAACAGAAGGUCCCCAGGUGGACCUUGAGCCAUCUUUCUGUGACCCCUCUGUGACCUCUCUGUAUUGUUGCCCUUUUUUGAUAUUUCUGAUGAUCUCCUCUGAGACUCCAGCUGCAACAUCACCCUCUCAGAAGCACAGAUUUCAUCCUCUGGAAAUAAAUCCUGGAUAUAUAGUUUUUAAAUUGCUCUCUUUGAAAACUGCCUCUACUCUCUGAUUUAUUUCUGGUGUGUGUGUGUGUGUGUGUGUGUGUGUGUGUGUGUGUGUGUGUAGUUCUCAUCUGCUAAUAUGCCUUUAAGACAUUCUAGAACUAUUUUUGAUUGGAUUCUAGUUAAUAAUAAGAAUAGUAAUAGUAAUAAAACACUGAAGAGAUUACAAAGCACUUUCCUAAUACUAGAAAUGAAGCUUAAGGGGUCUAAACAGCAAAACCAGGCUACUAUAUUAGUAAGGGGUAGUUAGGUUUAAAAUUCCUGUCCAGGAGAGAUUUAUUCAGGUAGCACUCACUUCAAGGUUUUUCUUUCAUCAAUAGCCACAGUUGUCUUAAUAUUUCUCAAGUAAGAAAAACAGAAACCAACCAAGCAACCCAUUGACAAACCAAAACAUUGUGUUAGACAGUUUUUGAUGUUGCACUUUGUGGGAAGUGUGGACUCUAUAAAUUCUUGAUUUGUAUAUUUCUGAGCUUUAAGACUGGAAAUACCAGCUAGUGCUGAGAACAAAUAAUUAAUGAUGACUUCACUUAGAAAUUUUCAACAACUACAUAUGGGAAAACCAAGAGCUCUCUUUUAUUAUUAUGAAUAAUUCUCUUUUCUCAUUCAAAGAAACAUCAAUUCAGUAUAGACAGGCGUACUAAUGAAGAGUAGAGAGUAAUCAAAUACAGAAUGAUGGCAGUUACUUGUCUUAGUCCACCCAAUUGUCUGAUUUCCUACUUACUCCCUGAGAGAAGGUUUUGGAGUGUCCUGGGUGUGUGCAUGUGUGAUAUGUGUGUAUGUAUGCAUGUGCAUAUAUAUACACACACCCUUUUGCAUGUGUGUGUUUAUAUUCAAGUACUUUAGUUGUUAGCAAACGAAGAUAAUAAAAACAGCUAACAUUUA